AUAAAAAUCAGAUGAAAAAAAAUAAAAAAGAAUUUUAGAAGUUAUUUUGGAAUUUUUUGGAUGAAAAAUGAAAUUACUAUGAAUUUUAAAAGAAAAAGCAAUUAAAAAUAAUAAAAGAAAAAGAAUUAAAAAUAAGAAAAACACUGAGCGUUGGAUCAUGCUUCAUUAAUUGACGUGACAGAUCCAAUCCUCCUCAUUCAAAACCAGUCAUACAAAUAGCACACGGGAUCCAAUUCAAAACCAGCCAAUCAAAGCAUUUCGUUUGUCCAACGUGUUUGUCCAAAUUCAAACGACUUGGAACACUCCGGUCAUAUUCUCCGGUGAGCUCUCACCGGAGUUUCAUCGUUUAGUAAAUUCAGAACAUGAGACC
rnacentral:lncRNA from 1 species